GACGAACGCUGGCGGCGUGCUUAACACAUGCAAGUCGAACGGAAAGGCCUCUUUCGGGGGGUACUCGAGUGGCGAACGGGUGAGUAACACGUGAGUAACCUGCCCUUGACUUUGGGAUAACUUCAGUAAACUGGGUCUAAUACCGGAUAGGAGCUCCUGCUGCAUGGUGGGUGUUGGAAAGUUUCGGCGGUUGGUGAUUGACUCGCGGCUUAUCAGCUUGUUGGUUGGGUAGUGGCUUACCAAGGCUUUGACGGGUAGCCGGCAUGGGAGGGUGACCGGCGACAAGGGGACUAAGAGACGGAGCAGAAUCCUACGGGAGGCAACAGAGGGGAAUAUUGCACAAUGGGUGGAAGCGUGAGGCAGAAGCGCCGGGUGCGGAAUGACGUGCUGCGGGUUGUAAACCGCUUUCGCUCAUGAAGAAGCUUUGUGUGACGGUAGUGGGUAAAGAAGCACCGGCUAACUACGUG
rnacentral:rRNA from 1 species